GUGGUUUUGGCUCAGUGGUAGAGCACUUGCCUAGCACGUUUGAGACACUGGGUUCAACCCUCAGCACCACA
rfam:Ictidomys tridecemlineatus contig029793, whole genome shotgun sequence.